rnacentral:rRNA from 1 species
GCUAGCGUUGCUCGGAAUCACUGGGCGUAAAGGGUGCGUAGGCGGGUCUUUAAGUCAGGGGUGAAAUCCUGGAGCUCAACUCCAGAACUGCCUUUGAUACUGAAGAUCUUGAGUCCGGGAGAGGUGAGUGGAACUGCGAGUGUAGAGGUGAAAUUCGUAGAUAUUCGCAAGAACACCAGUGGCGAAGGCGGCUCACUGGCCCGGUACUGACGCUGAGGCACGAAAGCGUGGGGAGCAAACAGG